GAUGAACGCUGGCGGCGUGCCUAACACAUGCAAGUCGAACGGAGAUUACGGACGGAAGUUUUCGGAUGGAAGCCUGUAAUUCUUAGUGGCGGACGGGUGAGUAACGCGUGGGCAACCUGCCCUAUACAGGGGGAUAGCAGCUGGAAACGGCUGGUAAGACCGCAUAAGUCGGUUAAAUCGCAUGAUUUGAUCGGGAAAUGAGCAAUCAGGUAUAGGAUGGGCCCGCGUCCGAUUAGCCAGUUGGCAGGGUAAAAGCCUACCAAAGCGACGAUCGGUAGCCGGACUGAGAGGUCGGGCGGCCACAUUGGGACUGAGACACGGCCCAAACUCCUACGGGAGGCAGCAGUGGGGGAUAUUGCACAAUGGAGGAAACUCUGAUGCAGCGACGCCGCGUGAGUGAAGAAGUAUUUCGGUAUGUAAAGCUCUAUCAGCAGGGAAGAUGAUGACGGUACCUGACUAAGAAGCCCCGGCUAACUACGUG
rnacentral:rRNA from 1 species